UGUCCAGACUCCUACGGGAGGCAGCAGUGGGGAAUAUUGCACAAUGGGGGAAACCCUGAUGCAGCGACGCCGCGUGAGUGAAGAAGUAUUUCGGUAUGUAAAGCUCUAUCAGCAGGGAAGAAAAUGACGGUACCUGACCAAGAAGCCCCGGCUAACUACGUGCCAGCAGCCGCGGUAAUACGUAGGGGGCAAGCGUUAUCCGGAUUUACUGGGUGUAAAGGGAGCGUAGACGGCUGUGCAAGUCAGAAGUGAAAGCCCGGGGCUCAACCCCGGGACUGCUUUUGAAACUGCGUGGCUGGAGUGCAGGAGAGGUAAGCGGAAUUCCUGGUGUAGCGGUGAAAUGCGUAGAUAUCAGGAGGAACACCAGUGGCGAAGGCGGCUUACUGGACUGUAACUGACGUUGAGGCUCGAAAGCGUGGGGAGCAAACAGGAUUAGAUACCCUUGUA
rnacentral:rRNA from 1 species